rnacentral:lncRNA from 1 species
CCUCUUUACCUCUUUAAUAGGGGUUGGCUAAGUAGGUUUUACAUGAAUACCCCUUUUAAUAAAUUUCAAUUAGGACUCUCCUAGCUAGAGUCCUAACAGACCCGCCCUCUUCAAAUCAGCUUUGUCUUCAAGGCUGACGAUCCAUGAAUUCUGAGAAUUUAAUCUUCAAGUGGACAUAGUUCUUCUAAGUGGCAUCUUCUGCUGGUAGGUUCG